AGGACGAACGCUGGCGGCGUGCUUAACACAUGCAAGUGGAGCGACGAACCGGGGCUUGCCCCGGGGCAGAGCCGCGAACGGGUGAGUAACACGUGGGUCACCUGCCUCAAUGACCGGGACAACCCGAGGAAACUCGGGCUAAUACCGGAUGUGCCCGCAAGGGGAAAGGAAGCUUCGGCCUCCGCAUUGAGAUGGGCCCGCGGCCCAUUAGCUUGUUGGUGAGGUAACGGCUCACCAAGGCUUCGAUGGGUAGCUGGUCUGAGAGGACGAUCAGCCACACUGGGACUGAGACACGGCCCAGACUCCUACGGGAGGCAGCAGUGGGGAAUCUUGCGCAAUGCGCGAAAGCGUGACGCAGCAACGCCGCGUGGGGGAAGAAGGCUUUCGGGUUGUAAACCCCUUUCAGUUGGGACGAAGCUUCUCCGGUGAAUAGCCGGAUGGAGUGACGGUACCUUCACAAGAAGCACCGGCUAACUACGUGCCAGCAGCCGC
rnacentral:rRNA from 1 species